CUCUCCUCCCUCUCCCUCGCGCGCUCUCUCCCUCCCUCUGAGUCUCUCUCUGAAUAAUGAGCAACCAGAGGGAGAGAGAAAGCAAGACAGAAAGAGAGAAGGAAGACAAUCUUCUGCCACACAAAACGCCGGAGCACCAGGGGGUGCGCGAAGCCUUUCUAAUAACAACAACAACGUGCAGGAAGCAACACAGAGCCAGGCCAGUGAGAUGCAAGAGGAGGAGGUGGCGGUGGCGGCGGCGGCAGUGGAGAAGGAGGAGGUGGUGGAGGAGGAGGAAGAGGAGGAGAAGGAGGCAAAGGAGGAGGAGAAGGGGAAGAGGGAGAUGAGAUGAAUAAAGACCUGCGGAGAAGGCGGUGCGAGGAGCGCGGCCGCCGGGGCUGAGGCGUGCGCGCUCGCGUCCCGGAGGCGCCCGGCCAGGGCGGCCGGCGGAGGAAGCCCCCAGUGUGGACCCUGCCCCGCUGCACAUAGCGCUCCCACCAUCAGCCCUGCCCGAGGCUCCCGGCCCCACAGGGUCCCUCACAUGUAUCCAUCUAGAGGCCAAUCUUUGGAAAGAACAGACGCGGGGAACUGGAGGUUGCAAGUCUAAACCCAGAUCAACCACGUGGGGCUUUUUAAUUCCUUUCCAGCUUGCGGUGUGAGUAUUUCCAGUGAAAAGCUCAAGUUGUCCAUUACUGGCACGAAUUUUGAAGUCUUCCUCCCCGAAAUAAAGGCUCAUUGUACGUUU